rnacentral:lncRNA from 1 species
CCACUCCCAUCUCCGGCGAUCUUGUUUUUCUCCCACUCCCAUCUCCGGCGAUUUCUGACGAGCAACCAGCGACGCGUCUAUACCGGCGAGCGACGACCAGCGGCUAGUCUGUUGUUAAGUUGCUCUGGGCUUCCGACCAUCUCCAUUCUUCCGACGAUCGAUCACUUCCAGGUAAGUUGAAGUUUAAUGGUUGAAGUUUAAUGGUUGCAGUCUAAUGGUUAAGUUCAAAAUUCUGAAUGGGUGUAAUACCAGCAGACCUAACACCCUAACUCUUGCAAGUUUUUUUUGGGUUCUUGGUUUAACAGUGGAACUUAGUAUCAAUGUUUGUAAAAAAUAUUGAAUUAUUUUGGAAAAAUUAGUGGACAAGUGGCGGGUGCUAUACUUCUAUCAAAAUGAAUCUACAAUUCGAACUAAUAUAAUUUUCCCUAUUUGAAUCAGUAGGAGCUUUUUCCAUUGUUCAAAUAAAUGGUUAUGAAAGUUCUAUUUGUUUGUUUUUUUACAAAAAAUAAAGUUUUUCAUUAAUAGAAUUGUGUGGUUAAUAGUGAUGUCCUGCAGAGCCCUUCCCUUAAUAUACUAUCUGUUUUGCAUCCAACUGGCCAGGACAUAGUUCGAUCCUCUCUUUUGAGGCUAUUACUUCCUUACACUUGGCUGAAUCAAUUGUGUAGUUAAUAGUGAUGUCCUGCAGAGCCCUUCCCUUAAUAUACUAUCUGUUUUGCAUCCAACUGGCCAGGAUAGAUGUUUAUCCCCAUAGCACUACAGCAUUCAUGAUUGGGGCAGUUGUGGCUAUCAUAAAUAGAUUUCUAACCCCUAAUUUUCCUUCCUAUCUACCAUGUGUUCUAUUUAUACACUAAGUUCUAUCGGCUGUGAACCAGAUCAUUAUAACAAUUAUUCAAAAAUAUAUUCACAAAAAUGAUGCUUGGAUAGUUGAAUCUACACAAAAAUCUAAUUAUUCUCCUAUCGAGGUUAAUGUGCUUACUGAUUAAGGGGAGUCUAAUUUGUUGAGGUAAGUCUCUAAUCAGUCAGCUAUAUGGAUGGAUAAGGAUUACUAAACUCCCUUUUAUCUAUAUAUAUUUCUUGUUGGAGUUAAAAAAAAGAUAAUCAAAGUUAAGGGUGCAUACGAUUUAUUUCAGCAUGAUAUAAGUGUAACAGGGCUCUUUGAUCGAAGCCAAAAAUUAUAAAAAAAAAUAUUUAAACUUAAAAAUUUCAUUUGAAACAUUUUCAUUACUUUUUUUAAAGUAUACCGAAAUCUUUUUUUAACCGAUUGACUCGGCUAUGAAAAGAAGCUAACCAAGUAGUUGGGAUUUCUAACACCUAUUUUUAUAAAAUGAAAGUUCAUACUACAAAAAUAAGAUAAAGGGGAUGUUGUUCAUAUCGCAUACUACAAAAAUUGUGCAAGUUCAUACUACCGCAUAUGCAAUACCCAAAAUAAUUGAGUCAAUAAUUAAUUUACAAGUUGACAAUUUGACAUGCAACAUAUAUUAAUUAUUAAUUCUUAGAUCUAAUGGAUUUCUUCCAUCUCUUUCUUUCCCAGUCACGACGAACUGUCCAACUAAUUCAGCAAAGUAGCUCAUAUCUUUGAUCAUCAAAGUAGCUCAUAUCUCCAUAUAUAUCGGCUAGUUCUGACCUUAUAUUUCCAGGAUUAAUUUUCUCAAAAGUAUAAAACAGGUAAGUUCAAACGUUUUAAAUCAAGUGAUUUGAUGAUAUAUUUUUCAGUGUUUGAUGUAAUAUAUAUGUUUGUUCAAAUUUAGAGUUUAUUAUUAAGAAUUAAUUUGUUAUCUUUUUAAUUCGGAAAGAGUUUUUAUUGAAAAUAUUUUAGAGAAAAAUAUAAUUAAUUAAUCAAAGAGAUUUUUAUCACGACCCGACCCACGCCCUAUUACAUACAAUCCAACAAAAAACUAAAACUACUAUCUAACUAAUUACAUUAAUUGCCUAAAUAAUUAGUAAUAGUUAAUCCAUUAAUUUAGCUUUAAUGCGCCCCCUCAAGCUUGUAGUGGCUCACCCAUAAGCUUUCAUUGGAGAUCAAGAAAGCUUGUAGUGUAUUAUUCAUUGUUGUUUAACCAAUUUCAGUUGGUUAUUCAAUCUAUAUUGUAACUAAUUCAUUCUAACUAAUUACAUUCUUUAAUAUGCCUCUCAAGAUUAUCGAACACUUCCACAAAGUCUAUGAUCUAAUUUAGAUUGUUCAUUACGUUAACGUCGGAAUUUGAAGGUUUAUCUACAAAGUCUAUCUAGCUAGUUAGUUAUUUUUGUAUAAGUUUUUUGAAUACUUAUUUUAAUACCUUUUUCAUUUAAAUAUUGAUUUUUAAGAGGUUUCUUUUUAUUUGUAUGUUAGGAGAUAAACUAAUAUGACUGAUCAAAUAGAAGGGCUUGACAAAUCAUGGUUGUUUGAAAGUUCAACCUCGAUGAAAUUUCAAAGUGGAUUGAAAAGUUUUUUAGAUUUUGCUG